AAUAUUGGACAAUGGGGGCAACCCUGAUCUAGCCAUGCCGCGUGUGUGAAGAAGGUCAUCGGAUUGUAAAGCACGUUAAGUUGGGAGGAAGGUCUUUAGGCUAAUACUCUAAAGUUUUGACGUUACCAACAGAAUAAGCACCGGCUAACUCUGUGCCAGCAGCCGCGGUAAUACAGAGGGUGCAAGCGUUAAUCGGAAUUACGUGGCGUAAAGCGCGCGUAGGUGGUUCAGUAAGAUGGAUGUGAAAUCCCCGGGCUUAACCUGGGAACUGCUUUCAUAACUGCUGAGCUAGAGUACGGUAGAGGGUAGUGGAAUUUCCUGUGUAGCGGUGAAAUGCGUAGAUAUAGGAAGGAACACCAGUGGCGAAGGCGACUACCUGGACUGAUACUGACACUGAGGUGCGAAAGCGUGGGGAGCAAA
rnacentral:rRNA from 1 species